GGCUGGGGCUCAGUGGUAGAGCGCUUGCCUCACAAGUAUGAGGCACUGAGUUCAAUCCUUAGUGCCA
rnacentral:tRNA from 1 species